AUACGGAGGGUGCAAGCGUUACUCGGAAUCACUGGGCGUAAAGCGCGCGCAGGCGGUCUUUUAAGUUGGAUGUGAAAGCCUACGGCUCAACCGUAGAACUGCAUCCAAAACUAUUAGACUAGAGUGUGGGAGAGGAAGAUGGAAUUAGUUGUGUAGGGGUAAAAUCCGUAGAGAUAACUAGGAAUACCAAAAGCGAAGGCAAUCUUCUGGAACACUACUGACGCUGAGGCGCGAAAGCGUGAGGAGCAAACAGGAUUAGAUACCCCAGUAGUCC
rnacentral:rRNA from 1 species